rnacentral:tRNA from 1 species
GAGACUCUAGUAAAAUAAUUACCCUACUUUGUCAAGGUAACAUUGGAAGUGAGAGCCUUCCGAGUCUUU